rnacentral:rRNA from 1 species
UACGUAGGUGGCGAGCGUUGUCCGGAUUUACUGGGCGUAAAGGGUGCGUAGGCGGCGCGUCAAGUCAGUUGUGAAAUCUUAAGGCUUAACCUUAAGCGGUCAACUGAUACUGUCGUGCUAGAGUGCAGAAGGGGCAACUGGAAUUCUCGGUGUAGCGGUGAAAUGCGUAGAUAUCGAGAGGAACACCUGCGGCGAAGGCGGGUUGCUGGGCUGACACUGACGCUGAGGCGCGAAAGCUAGGGGAGCGAACGGG